rnacentral:rRNA from 1 species
UACGUAGGAGGCGAGCGUUGUCCGGAGUUACUGGGCGUAAAGGGUGCGCAGGCGGCGGUUCGCGUGGAUAGUUGAAAUCUCCUGGCUUACCUGGGAGGAUGGUAUCCAGACGGGAUCGCUUGAGGGUCGGAGAGGUGAGUGGAACUGCGAGUGUAGAGGUGAAAUUCGUAGAUAUCAGGAGGAACACCGGUGGCGAAGGCGGCUUCCUGGACACUUACUGACGCUGAGACGCGAAAGCGUGGGGAGCAAACAGG